GCCCGGUUAGCUCAGUUGGUAGAGCGUGAGACUUUUAAUCUUAAGGUCGGGGGAUCGAGACCCCCAUCGGGCG